rnacentral:lncRNA from 1 species
GUGGGGGAAAAAAGAUAAUAGAACUAAACCCACAGAUGAUCCAGCCAUUGAUGCUAAUAAAAAGGAAAACCAAUUGACAAAAUCAAUAUCUAUUAGACUAAGUCUAAUUUGAAUAUUUUUAUCCCUUACAUAAACACUAAAAGAGUAGUAGAAUAAUGUAUAACCAAUAGGUCAAUAGAAGAAAACAUUGGAAGGAUAAAAAUGUUUAGAUAUUCCAAUAGAUAAAAAAGGAGGAGAAAUAGAACUAAAUUUAUGGGCCAAAUAGAAAACAUAUUAAGAUGGUAGAUAUACACCCAAUUAUAUCAAGUUAUAUCAGUUCAUCACCAAGGCCUAACUAUUUUAUGUGCUAUAUUCUCCUGUGGCCUCUUCUCUAUUCCCACUACUACAGCCCAAAUUCAAAUUUACGGUAACCUAUUACCUGGAGUAUUUCAAUAAAUCCCUAACAAUUUUCCUUAUUUCUGCUAUGGCCUCCUUCAAUCCAUCCUCCUUAGAUUUUUUUUUUUAUUUGAUUUUGUGCAUGCCCUUCUUCUGCCUAAAAUGUCUCAGUGGCUCCCAUUAACUUACGAAAGACAUCACAAAAUGAGUAUUUGCUGAAGAGUCAGCCUCCUGGAAAAAAUAAGAGGAUGCAAUGGCUCCACCUGGUGGCAGCAUGAAGAGCUGCCUUGAGACCAGCCAGGAAGUGGAGAAUGUUCCUAGUUUUUAUUCUUGCCUUCCUCUUCCAGGAGAUCAUGAUUACCUGCCUUGAAGAAGGUUGGACCUGAACUUCUCCUUACAGGCAAAGAGUGAGGACACUUUUGUUCCCAAGGAAGAAAGGGGAAGCCCCAUAUUGUGGUUUGGGAACUGCAGAUAUUGGGAAGGGCUUACACAACCUGAAGGAACUGCCGGCAUCUGGACUGGACAGCUGUGGCCAAGAGCACUCACCCCGCCAGCCACAUUCCUCGGAGUGGGAGCUUCAGGGAGGUUCUGUGGGGAAGACAAGCAGCAUGUCCCCGUGGCCAUGGGCCUCGGCCUCCUGGGAGCUUCCCGAGGCAUCAGCCGCUCAGGUCCUCUGUGGCCUCAAGCCUCUCCCCCCUGCCACUGGAUCCAUUGGAGCAGCUUUCACAGCUUUCCUUGAACAAACCUCCAGAUCCUGAGCUGUUCCAGCCUGACAGGCCGCAGAAGAUGACAAAGGGGGAGCACAGAGGGGUCAGUCAUUCAUGAAAAAGGGAAGACAGGCUAAACCUGAGGGGGAGGCACACCCAGCCCCACCUCGAGCCAGUUCCCAAUUGCCUUCAGACCUCUUUCCUUUUGCCCAGUGUUUAUCAAACUCAGUGGAGAUACAAAUCACUUAGGGAUCUCGUUAAAAUGCAGAUUGUAACGCAGUAGAUCUGGGGCUAAAGAUUCUGGGUUUCCAAUGAGCUCCAGUUCCGGUGAUGCUAUUUGAUCUCAACUUUGGCUACAUGUUAGAACCCCCUGUGGAGCUUUGCAGCCAAAACCAGUGCUCAGGCGUCCCACCAACCAGUGACUAAAUCUGUAAGCAUGGUGCCUGGGCACCAGUGUUCCUAGAAGCUCAGAAACUCCCUCAGAUGACUGUAGCUCCAGCAAGUUCUAGAGAAAUAUGAUUCCCAAGUCUCAUUUCUUCCUGUGUAAAUGCUCCCCAACCUCCUUUAUCCUUCUCUACCACUGCUUUCUACGCUAGUUCUCCUAGAGGCCCCUCUAACUCCCCUGCCAGAUUAGCUUCUCUUCCUCUGUUCUCAAGCUACCUAAGAUUGGUGACAGGCUGGGAGCCAAGACAACCCCAGUCCUUUAUUGCUUCCCCCACUCCAGCCCCAUCUAACUUAACUGGGCUUAAUUAAGCCUCCUCCUUGCCCUCCUUCCCCCAGGAUGUUGGGAUGACCAGGGGUGAGUAACCAGUGCUGACCCCAGCUCUCAACUUGCUCUUGCUUCUCAGCUCACUCUUGCACCUGCUCGAUAGAGGACAAUAAACUGCCACAGGUAGGUUCCUAAUCACUUAAACCUCAGCCCUAACAACAUAAUUUUAUUUUUGUUCCCCAUGUACCCCUAGGUCCCUUCCAGGACUUGAUUUGAUGCUUAAAGAAUAAGAUAGUGAAGGAUGAGCCAAGAGAUGUAGUAUAUACCAAGAAUCUAUGGAACAUCAUCUUCUCCUACCAAUGGAGCUGCCAGAAAAAAAUACAUUGAGAAAGCAUCGCAGUCCCUCUCCAGAGUCAGUUGAAUUACGAGGGAUGGUGGUUGACAAGUAUAGAACCAUAUCUGUAUCAUUCUCCAUUGUUUUCCACUGCAUAGCUCAGUGCGUGGAAUAUGAUGUAUAAGUAUGUGUGUAUGAGUGGAUAUAAAUAUUCGUGAUUAGAGGGAUGGCUGGGUGGCUCAGUGGUUGAGCAUCUGCUUUCAGCUUAGGGCAUGAUCUCAGGUCCUGGGAUUGAGUUCCACAUCAGGCUCCCCACAGGGAGUCUGCUUCUCCCACUGCUUAUGUCUCUGCCUUUUUCUGUGCGUUUCUCAUCAAUAAAUAAAAUCUUUAAAAAAUAUAUUCAUGAUUGGAGAACUGAAUUUUUCAUCUCUGACCCUCAGUUGAUUGAUAAAUAAAUCGUAGACAAAUGAUGGUGAACAUUUGUUUUUGACUUGUUAGCAGAAGCUGUUAGAUACAAAUGAAGAUAAUAUAUAUAUAUAUAUAUAUAUAUAUAUAUAUAAGCUUAGACAGAGAAAUUUCUUGCUUGAGUGGAAGACAUACAGAAUUGUAUCCCUGCAGUGCUAACAUUCACUGGAUGUGCUAUAGAAAUAUGACAGCAGUGAAUAAAAUUUUUUCACAGAUAUAGAGCAAAUUUUGCUAGUUUUCUAAAAGACUCUCUAAACUGUCCUGUUUCUCUACCUUUCCUGCCCGCCAGAGUCCUCCAAUGCCAUCUUUGUGGGAUGAUGUGGCUUCUGGCCAGCAUGUGACACAGUGUGAGGAUUGGAGGGAAGAAAUGAUGGGGAGCUUUUCAGGGAGAGCUGGGGAUUCCAAAGUGAAGAGCUGGGCUACAAUUCUCUGUAGAAGAGUGCUACUGGGGAAGGAAGGCUUUAAAAAAAAUUCUUAAGAUGUUACUUCAGAGCUUAAGGACUAUAGGAAACCAGCCUCCAAAAGCAACAAUCACACCAUUUCACUCCCCUGUGUCUCCACCAGCUUUUUCUGCCUGACUUACUAGAUUAACCACCUGCCUAUUUGGGGGCUCUUCCACUUGCAGUUCCAGAGGAGAUGAAGUGGAGACCUCCUUGCUUACGUUAUUGACUAUUCUUUAGUUGUUAAGAAGAAAUUGCACUGGGGGGCACCUGGGUGGUUCAGUCAGUUAAGCAUCUCCCUUGGGCUCAGGUCAAGAUCUCAGGGUCCUGGGAUGGAACAGAGUCUGGCUCCCUGUUCAAUGGAGGGUCUACUUUACCCUCUACCCUCCCCCCAUGCUCCCGUGCUCACUCCAGUGCUCUCGCUCUCUCUCUCCCUCCCUCUCAAAUAAAUAAAUAAAAUCUUUUUUAAAAAGAAGAAAUUGCACUGAGGAAAGGAGUCACCUGGCAAGAGUAGGCAGAAAAUGUCCUAGAGAGGGUAAAUAUGGGACCAAUGAAAAGGAAUGAGAAAGAGGGAGGAAAUGUUCUGGUGAAUCUGUGGCCCAGUUAGGACUCACAUGCUCCUUCUGACUUUAUCUGAGUUCAGAGGAAAUGUUUCAAAUUUGUCUUGAUUAUUUCAGCUCUUCUCGUCGGGCUGCAUAUCUCAGCACCUGGAGCCACCAGAGGUGUGGAUAGGAUAGCUAAACAUUGACUGGGACUUCUAGCCAGCAGUAAAGUCUCUUAAAAUUACUAAUUCCAGUAUUUUUUAAAUGCUUCUGUGGUUUAAAGUCACAUAAUAGUUUGUACUCAGUAAUAGUGCAGUGACCACAGAAAGCAUUACUAGUUGUAAACACACAUUCAUCCUUGC